rnacentral:lncRNA from 1 species
GUGAAAGAAGUUGGGAAGAAGUUGUUAAUAAUAGAUUACCUAGAGAAAUAGGUAAAAGAAAUUUCCAUCCAAGAUUUAAUAAUUGAUCCAUUCUCAGCCGCGGUAGAGUCCAUCUUGUUGCGAUAGGAAUGAACAAGAACAAAUAUGUUUUAGCUAAUGUAAUAAAGAUACCAAUUAUUGUUCCAAAGACUCUACCUCUUUUAGUAAUAUCAAAAAGCUCGGGAACAGGUAUGUACGGAAUAGAAAGAUUCCAACCCCCCAAGUAAAGAACUGUUACAAAUAAUGAAGAAACCAGUAGAUUUAAAUAUGAAGCAACGUAAAAUAAACCAAAUUUGAUACCGGAAUAUUCGGUUUGAUAACCUGCUACUAAUUCUUCUUCUGCUUCUGGUAAAUCAAAAGGUAAUCGUUCACACUCGGCUAGGGAAGAAAUUAGAAAAACUAGAAACCCUAUAGGUUGACGCCACAAAUUCCAUCCCCAAAAACCAUAUUUUGACUGCGCUUCAACUAUAUCAACUGUACUUGAACUGUUAGAUAAUCAUAGUAGAUGAGAACAUCACUAGAUAUUGAUAACACACAUAGAGUUAAUGGUAUUUCAUAACUAAUUGAUUGAGCAGCAGCUCGUAGACCACCUAAAAAAGAAUAUUUAUUAUUUGAGCCAUAUCCUGACAUAAGAAGGCCAACAGGAGCAAUACUUGAAAUAGCAAUCCAUAAAAAAACACCAAUACUGAGAUCGGCUAGAACAAGGCGAUAACCAAAAGGAAUUACUAAAUAACUUAAUAAAAUUGAUAUGACUGCUAUAGAUGGUCCAAUACUAAAUAAACGAGUAUCUCCUCUAGAUGGAAGAAGAUUCUCUUUGAAAAGUAAUUUGGUACCAUCUGCUAGAGCUUGAAGAAUUCCCAAAGGUCCUGCGUAUUCAGGACCGAUACGUUGUUGUAUACCCGCGGAUAUUUCUCUUUCUAACCAAACAAUGACUAGUACACCUAUUGUAAUUCCUAAUACAGGAGUAAAAAUAGGGAUAAGCACCCAUAUGAUCCCAUAGACCUCUUUUAAGGAUUCCAAUCUAGAAAAAGAAUUGAUAGCUUGUACUUCUGUUGUAUCAAUUAUCAUUUUAACGAUCAACUUCUCCCAUAAUGAUAUCUAUACUACCUAGUAUCGUCAUAAUAUCAGCCAAUUUCAUUCUUUUAACUAACUGAGGAAGAAUUUGCAAAUUAAUAAAUCCCGGCGGCCUAAUUUUAUAUCGCCAAGGAAAAACACCCUUAUCUCCUAUCAAAAAAAUUCCCAAUUCUCCCUUUGGUGCUUCGACUCUCGCAUAAAGUUCUUGCUUCGACAAUUCAAAAGUCGGAGAAGGUUUUUUACUAAUGAAUCGAUAGUCAAACUCAUUCCAUACAGUAUCUUUUACUCUAUCAAAGCGGCGGAUUUCUAAAUUUUCAUAGGGCCCUCCCGGAAUUCCUUCUAGGGCCUGUUGAAUAAUUUUUAUGGAUUCUGUCAUUUCGCUGAUUCGUACUAAAUAACGAGCUAACGAAUCCCCCUCUUUUUGCCAUUGGACUUCCCAAUCAAAUUCAUCGUAACACUCAUAAUGAUCAACUUUACGAAGAUCCCAUUCUAUUCCGGAAGCUCGUAGCAUUGGUCCCGACAAACCCCAAUUUAUUGCUUCCUCUCCACCAAUAAUGCCUACUCCUUCAACUCGUUCUAAAAAAAUGGGAUUCCGUGUAAUAAGCUUUUGAUAUUCAGCAAUUCCUGUUA